rnacentral:lncRNA from 1 species
AGAAGCUGUUUUCAGAGAUUCGGAGGCAGGCCGAUGACCACAGCAAGAAGAACAGACAGAAAUCCGUAAGGAUAAUUCAUCUAAGCUAAUUAUAGUUAAAGCAUUACUGACUUAUAAAAACUCAGGAUUAUGCUCUCAAAAGCAAUUACAUUUAUAUUAUUUUUAUUUAAAAUUUAUAUUACAUGUAAUAUAAACUAUACAUACAAUAUAUUGAACUAUAUGGAAAAUUGAAACUACGAAAUCACGUACUGGGCUGCACCUCUUUUAUUGACUACUAUUUUCUUAUCACAUUUGGUGACACGGCAUACAUGCUCUCAAUCACAUUCAAUGAUUCUUAAUCAGUUCUCCUACCACUCUCCCCCACACAGUGACAUAUGCAUCAAUUAUUCAUGGCUAUUACCCUUUAUUGGCAAAACCUGAUUCAGACAAGAAGCAGCACAUAGUUUCUUCUAUGUGGAAAAAAUAAACUAUUUUUUAAUAUCAAUAA